rnacentral:lncRNA from 1 species
AUGAAGAUCUGGAGAGACAAUUAAAGGAGAAGGUUGAGAACCAUUAAUAAAACCUUGUUUGUUCUUCGCAGACAAAGCAAUGAGUACAGAUCUCCUCCAGCCUUGAUAACAUUUCCCAUCAAAGAGAUUGUUGAUCAGUACCAUUCCAGGUGCAUCAGAAGCAUGAAGAUGAUAAAGAUGAUAAGGAUUGAUGGUCGUGGUAACGCCGACUGCUGGGACAGUGGCUGGUGUGAUAACAGUAG